rnacentral:rRNA from 1 species
GUAGUCCACGCUGUAAACGAUGUCGAUUUGGAGGUUGUGCCCUUGAGGCGUGGCUUCCGGAGCUAACGCGUUAAAUCGACCGCCUGGGGAGUACGGCCGCAAGGUUAAAACUCAAAUGAAUUGACGGGGGCCCGCACAAGCGGUGGAGCAUGUGGUUUAAUUCGAUGCAACGCGAAGAACCUUACCUACUCUUGACAUCCAGAGAACUUAGCAGAGAUGCUUUGGUGCCUUCGGGAACUCUGAGACAGGUGCUGCAUGGCUGUCGUCAGCUCGUGUUGUGAAAUGUUGGGUUAAGUCCCGCAACGAGCGCAACCCUUAUCCUUUGUUGCCAGCGGUUCGGCCGGGAACUCAAAGGAGACUGCCAGUGAUAAACUGGAGGAAGGUGGGGAUGACGUCAAGUCAUCAUGGCCCUUACGAGUAGGGCUACACACGUGCUACAAUGGCAUAUACAAAGAGAAGCGACCUCGCGAGAGCAAGCGGACCUCAUAAAGUAUGUCGUAGUCCGGAUUGGAGUCUGCAACUCGACUCCAUGAAGUCGGAAUCGCUAGUAAUCGUAGAUCAGAAUGCUACGGUGAAUACGUUCCCGGGCCUUGUACACACCGCCCGUCACACCAUGGGAGUGGGUUGCAAAAGAAGUAGGUAGCUUAACCUUCGGGAGGGCGCUUACCACUUUGUGAUUCAUGACUGGGG